rnacentral:rRNA from 1 species
AAGGCAGCAGGAGAGGCUGGAGGAAGCAGCACGCUGCGGAUAUUGGUGGCGACCGAUUGCCACCUCGGCUACCUGGAGAAGGACGAGCUACGCCGAUCCGACUCAUUCGACACCUUCGAGGAGAUCUUCUCACUGGCAGAGAAACACAAUGUGGAUUUCCUGCUUCUCGGUGGCAAUCUGUUCCACGAGAACAAGCCGUCACGCUCGACGCUGGUGAAGACGAUCGAGAUCCUGAGGCGGCGCUGCCUCCACGACCGGCCGGUGCAGUUCCAGGUGGUCAGUGAUCAUGCAGCCAGCCUGCAGAACUUGUUUGGUCGACCGAAUUUUGAGGACCAGAACAUCAACGUCGGCUUGCCUGUGUUCACCAUCCAUGGCGACCAUGAUGAUCCUACAGGAGUGGAUAAUAUGUCAGCCAUCGAUGUCCUUGCCGCCACCGGUUUCGUGAAUUACUUUGGAAAGAUGGAUCUUGGCAGUUCUGGCGUCGGUCACAUGUCAAUUCAUCCUAUACUUAUCAAAAAGGGUGCAACUUCUGUCGCAUUAUAUGGCUUAGGGAACGUUAGGGAUGCAAGAUUGAGCAGAAUGUUUCAGACACCAGGUGCAAUAGGUUGGAUGAAACAUGAGAGUACAGAGGAUGUGUCACUGUCUGACUGGUUCAACAUUCUGGUUCUUCAUCAGAACAGGAUGAAGGGAAGUCCCGACAACGGCAUCAACGAACGUCUGUUACCAAACUUUCUGGAUUUAGUGAUAUGUGGCCAUGAGCAUGAAUGCCUUGUUGAUCCCAAGGAGGUUCCUGGAAUGGGUUUCCACAUCACGCAGCCAGGAUCUUCAAUUGCCACAUCGCUGACCAGUGCUGAAGCAAAACAAAAGCAUGUUCUUUUGUUGGAAAUAAACGGAAUGAAAUACAGGCCAACUAAUAUACCUCUGAAGACUGUUAGACCUUUUGAAUAUGCCGAGGUGGCCAAUCUUAUUGAGAAGAAUGAUACAACAGCAGGCAGUGGAUCAGAGCCCAAACUUCCACUUGUUAGGAUAAAGGUGGACUACACUGGGUUCUUAACAAUACACCCACAGCGGUUUGGUCAGAAGUAUGUUGGGAAGGUUGCCAACCCACAAGACAUUAUUGUUUUCUCAAGGUCAGCAAAAAGGCGCCAAAACAUGCAAGAUAACGCUGGCGGUUCCAGAGAACUCUACCCAAAUGAGCUUAAUCAACACACGGUCGAAGCUCUGGUUGCAGAAAUUAACCUGAAUAUGCAGGUUCUUCGGCUAGAUGACCUGGACACUGCCCUGCAUGUUUUCGUCAACAAGGAUGACAAUAUGGCAUUUCACUCUUGCCUGCAGAAGAACACCGAAGAGGCAAUAAACAUGUUGACUGCCAGCAAGGUAGACACCGACAUCGAAGAUGGAGAUGCAAUGGCAGUACAUGAUUUGGAUCAGUUCAUGCAGGCACGAGAGAAGGGAAGAAUCCAAACGGCCCCAAGCGCCCAGAGCCUCCCAACCAGCACGGCGCUCAGCGCAUUUGAGGAGCUGAAAUGCUCCCCGGAUCCGGACCAAGAUAUCCGCGACGACUCGAAUGAGCUCAUUGAAACAUCGCUGACGGGCUGCUUCUGUUCUUCCGUGCGCAAGGAUGGAGAGUGCCAUCAUGAGAAGAUGGCAAGGCCGCGGAAGCGGCCGGCCCCUUUUCCUGCUACGGCUGGGGGCUCUGCGUCUUCUCCCUCUUCCUCGGCCCGGGGGAGGAAGACGGACCUGGCUUCGUUCAGCCGUAUCCCGGCGCCUGCGGUGAAGGAGGAAUUGGACGACCGCGGGACCAAGAAAGGACGGCCUUCGCCUCAUGUG